CAGGUGUGGGGCAGGGGGCCAUGCUCCUGACUGGUUCCCUUGGACUUUGAUGGAUUCAGGUUUGAGUCUGGACAAGGUAAGGAAGGCAGGGACGGAGUCAAACUGUCUGUCCCCCGCCCCCCAAUAAGCUCUCCCUGAGCACCAAGGGCCUUGCAGCCAGGCACACAACCUGCCAGAAACAACCUAAGAAAUUUGUUCUUGCUCCCUGAGAACUCUCACUGGGUGCCAGGGUCACUCCCCCUGAAGCCACAGCAGAAAGCCUCAGUGUCCCCAUUUCCCCCAAUUCUGUGUCCAUCUGCUUGACUUUCUGGGCCCGCUUCCACCUUGGAAGGACUAGAAGCAGACAAAACUUCAAAAACAGAGAACAGGGAAAAUGGAUUCUCCCCAGGUGAAACGGGUGAGACCCUGGGGACACCUACAGGUCCCACUGAGAACAGGGCAGCUUUCUUCCCUAACUGGUGCCAGUCACUGAGGAAAUCUUUCGGAGCAAGAGGGGACUUGGAGCCCCAGCAUUUUCCCUUCCCUUUCCCGGCCGGCUGAGGGCCAGGAGAUGCUGCCCGGCCUGGCGGAAGUGAGCUCAUCCAGGACGGCCCGUGACCCACCAUGUGGGCAGGAGAAGCCCGUGAAGGGAUGAAGACUGUGGGGUGGGCUCUCCAGCCCAGGGCCCCGCAGCUCCAAGGGGCGACCGGCACCCAGGGCGGCCCCGCUACGGGCUCCGCUCACUCACC